rnacentral:misc_RNA from 1 species
CGAUUGAGCAACAGGACAGAUAGAGUCCUAGAGUCAAAACGGGGCAAGUCAAGCUUCCAUAAAGGGACAAUUGAUUCGGGCAAAUAAGGGACAAAGGACCCCGACCGAUCAUGCAUCUACAUACAAAACUUCGAGCAACACAUGAGCGUCCGAUGCUUGCAAGCUAAAUAAGUGAAGCAAGGGCGAACGUCCAUAGGAGCUAAAGGGUCUACGUCGCACAAAACAUUUCAUACGAGAUAGAGUAGGGGCCAUAGAUCUAGGGAAUUCCGUCAAAAUAGGUAUGCUGCACAGGGGGCCAAGCCAAUCCAAGGACAGAUAUUUAGCACUCGGACAGAAUUGAAUAGGUUUGGACCAGCGGUUGUCGCUACCGAGGCAGGGAACCAACCAGCCGGAACAUACC